GAGAAGGUAAAGCCUGCAGAGUAAAGGAGCUGUAGGUUCAGUUCACAUAAUUACUCUCUGUUCCCUCUUCGGGUGGAAGUAUCUCCUAAGGGAUUGGUAUACACUCUGGCACUGCACAUAGAGUACUGUACAUCCUCAGGCGUGUGCUUCUCAUUCAUUAGAAUCACUGAAUGCAUUUCUUGACUGCAUUCUUGAUGAUCUUCCCAAUUAAGUGUAUGUUACUGAGUAAAUAGUGCAAGUAAUUUGACUGGUUUUGGCUUAUGCUGUAAUGGAAACCUUCAGGUUUGUUUUAGGAGAGACAAUUUAAUAGAAGAACGUAACACCUAGUGUCAUAGGGGAAGGGUGCUUUUUUCUGAGUCAUUUCCAAAGUGACCUAGAAAUCUGAUAAUAAAAUCUCAAUAGGCAUUAUAAUGAUAGAAAACUAAUAUGAUAUUAUGUGUAAUACUGGACAUAAUCAAAAUCAAAUAAGUAAUAAUUUGAAGAGGAAACUUCCUUUACUGGGAGGCACAUGGAAAGUGUGAUGAAAACACUGUGAAUCAAAUAGCUUUCAUAAUCAGUCCAGUAAAAAAGAUUACUAAGAUUUCUAUCUUGUACUAUAGAAACUUUCUUAACCAGCUGGACAGAUCCAUUUGUACAUUCCUCAAGCAUUCAGAAAAGAUCUAAUUUUUUCUUCAAGGUUUUCUUUUCAAGGGUAACGUUCUUCACUUUUUCUUGCAGUUCAAUAAUACUUUCAUUCUUCCUGUUAUGUUCCGUGGUAGAAGGAUGAUCUGUGUCCUAGUGAGUGUAACAGUGGAGGAAAACUAACUGUGUGAACAGAUGGAGAACCAAAAUUUAGCACACCUUCCUUAGAGUUAACUGAAGGGUAACUGGUGUGUUGAUCAAGAUCAGCUAUAACAAAUGGCAAAGAGAAUUACGAGGAAGAUCCUGAGCACGUAAGCUACUGAUAGAUGCACCAGGAGUGUUAUCAAACAUUAUGAAACAAUGAUACAAGGAUCAUCAGCUGGAGGAGAUGCUGACUUUUCAGAGGCUGAGAUCUUUCAGAGUCACUGGGACUGCUGGCAGAACCUGUUCCUGUCACCACCUCACCCAGCUUACUCUGAUCGUGGGCAAGGAAGGGGGACUCACAGCUUGGAAGAAGGUAGAAGAACUCAGCUGCUAGGGAAGUACUUCACUCUUCAUUAUACUGGCCGAGUAAAAGGGGAAUGUAUCAGCAGCACCUUACUUCUAAAGCUACACAAAUGAGAAACUGCAACCCUGAGACUUUGUAUGAAGGGACUCACCCAAGGCCACACUGCAGUUCAGCCUUUGAUAGAGGCUGGACCAAGAGCUCAAAGCAAGCCUAGCUCUUCGUAACAUAGGAGAUUCUCCUUCUGAAAGUAUCACCAUUGCUUAGUGAACUCUUUGACUUAACCCCGUUGAAGGUGAAUCAUUUGUAGAACAGCUUGUGCCUGUUUCCAGAUGAGUGCUUAAAGCCUGGGAAAAAACAAAGCAUGCUGCAGUCUAUGGCUGUAGCGGAAUCUAUGUGGAAGCCUGGAGCAAAGAAGGAAUAAAAAUUAAUGUGGGAAUCCUCUGGCAGUGUUAUGUUUUGAACACUUCCCUGUCAUUACAAUAAACAGGUAUUUUUACUUAAGAGCACUGAAUAAUUUAUUAGACAGUGAAAUAAACCUGUAGGAUAGCGCACUCUCUGCAGCUUCACCCACAUGGAUUAAGAGUCCUCCAACAGCUGGUUCUAGGAAAAAGAUCGGUAAUCAGGUGAUCUUAAUCCAGUUCCUGUUGCAGGCGGCUGUAUGUUGGGAAAAAGAGCACAGAGCAUGCCUGCACAAAGACAGAUCUUGCCUCCCAAAACUGGCGGCUACCCAGAUUGGGUGAUGACAAGUCAUGCUGGUGGGGCAGCAACUGGAACUAAGCUAGAUGACUAUAUGUCUUGGUGUGUGACAGGGCCACUGGCUAAAGUCCUGCCUGUCCCCAAUCUGCAAGCAAACCCUGCACUUCUGUUGCUGCGUUCAUUUCACAGCUAAAUAAAGAAUGCCAUACAUAGCAUUGCAUCCACUUUCAGAGAGGACACUUGGCAGUGAGUUCCUUAGCAUACAGGCUCCCAUUUUUGUUCAGCAUUUGUAUAAUCUGUAGCACAACAAAGCAUGAUGGGAGUUUCCAGGUAAUACAAGACAGUAAGCAAUAAUGGCAGUUUUAUUUUCAUAUGGAAUCGACCUUUCCCUUUCCAGACCUCCCCCAUGACACGGCAGGGAAUUGGCUUGGGUGUCGUAGCAAUUGAGCAGCACGAGGGCUCUCCAGCAAUGCGCCCUCUCUCCUCUGGCUGAAGCCACCGGUGUCCAAGCGGAGCAGCAGUACCUUCUCACGCAGUUAGGCCUCGUGGGUUUGUCUGCAGUAAAGAAUCUUUGGAAAGCAGUUGUUGUACUAUUCCUUCAGACUGACACUGUAUUCUUUUCUGCCUUAGCAGCUGGCACUUUGUUACAGAGGGAGAAUAUUUGACAGAAGAUUCCCUCUUUUAUACAAAAGAAGGAGAAAGGGUUAUUUAGGUUCCAGCUGCUCUAGUGUCAGAAGCUGCAGUGGCAGAACUUGAAGACAGUCUGAAGUAAAGCUGUAGCUUUAAGAAAUGUCAGAAGCUGGCUUGGUGCUUUCCACAUUCAGAGACUCUCAAUGGGUUGACUUUACAGAAGCCUUGCGAAUGGGAACAACAUCUAUUCCAUUCGUUCUUUCUUAAAGGCUUCUCAGUACAAGCAUCCCUGUUUUCUGCACAGUUGCAGAUUUUUGAUGGCCUUUACACAUACCACUUGGGUAAUGGGAAAACGUCUACAGAAAAGACUGCGUUCUAAAAUUUUACCAUUAUGUACUGGAUAGCAAAAGCCUAGUACUCACUUAGUCCUACGUGAUAUCGGUAUAUAAACAGAUUAGCACAUUGUUCAGUGUAAGGGGUGUUACAGUGACCUCAGAUGCUUCUAGCGAGGCUUGAAAAUGUGGAAUUCAUUUGGCUUCAGAUGGAGCUUUUUUUUAAUAAAGAUUGGAAUUCAGCAUUUCAGAGUAUAUU
ensembl:lncRNA